UACGGAGGGGGCUAGCGUUGUUCGGAAUUACUGGGCGUAAAGCGCGCGUAGGCGGACCUGCAAGUCGGGGGUGAAAGCCCGAGGCUCAACCUCGGAACUGCCUUCGAUACUGCGGGUCUCGAGUCCGGGAGAGGUGAGUGGAAUUCCUAGUGUAGAGGUGAAAUUCGUAGAUAUUAGGAAGAACACCAGUGGCGAAGGCGGCUCACUGCCCGGUACUGACGCUGAGGCGCGAAAGCGUGGGGAGCAAACAGGG
rnacentral:rRNA from 1 species